GUGGAUGGUUCUAUUCUCUGGUAAGUUAUUCCAGUAACCGUACAUCGAUGAGUCAGUAUAUCUAUUUCAGGGGCUGUCAAAAUUCCCUGUCAGUUGAGUCGAAGUCCUUGCAAACCCAUUGAAUAUCGAACGUAUGUGAGUGACCUAAGGAACUACAAGUAAUAAGUGACUUUGUUACGAUAUUUUCCCGGACUGUUCAAAUGAAUUGAAACAAACAUGGAAUGGAACUAAAAUGUCCACCAGGAUAAUUGUCGACAGGUCCUAGUAGUGCAGUCAAUUUAGACAUUCGAAGUGUCUCAGUGUCGAAUUUUGAUAGUACUUUCUUCCCUGCUGCUGUCAGGGUUGAAUUCUCAGGGCCCUCUGUUUUCGAGCCUUAUGUGGGGCAGGACCUACAGCUGAUCGUCCGGUGUAAGAUGUGUUGCCUACCUCCAGUGUUGAUCCCUAUCGAUUUACAUCGGGGUCCUGGACGCACAGCCAGUGGUGCCAAAGUCAUCCGUCUUAUUGUCGGAAGAGGUGGUCGAUGGGUGGUCUUUCGGGAGGUGCUGGCAUCAUGCUGACCUUUCAGGCAGUUACAGAAUAACGAGGGGUUUGGGCAGUCUCUUCCGCAUAUCCAGCACAUGCCAUGGCGGAUUUCCAGAUAGGUGACGCCUCCCAUAUCUGGACGUUUCUGGUUGACGGUGUCGGGGGAUAGGAGCAGUUGGCAGUGAACGCACAUCAGCGUCCAAUUUUAUCAGUGAUGUCUCCAGUGUUGCAACAUUGAUUGGUUGAAUGGGAGACAUCCACGCCCAGAAGUUAUCCAUCCGGUCGACGUGAUGGUUGCCGUCUGUCAGCAGUCAACAGUGUCUCCAAGGAACUCAAGGCUCGAGCGGUGGUCUCCUUGAAUUUUCUUUUAUGUGGGACUAAGUUUCACCAUGAGUGCUAUUUAUGAAAAAGGGGUGCCAGAUAGUUUUUAUUGAUUUGAACUGACUUUUUUCGAGUAAUUCAAUAAACUCAA